AGCGAACGCUGGCGGCAGGCCUAACACAUGCAAGUCGAACGGACCCUUCGGGGUUAGUGGCGGACGGGUGAGUAACACGUGGGAACGUGCCUUUAGGUUCGGAAUAGCUCCUGGAAACGGGAGGUAAUGCCGAAUGUGCCCUUCGGGGGAAAGAUUUAUCGCCUUUAGAGCGGCCCGCGUCUGAUUAGCUAGUUGGUGAGGUAACGGCUCACCAAGGCGACGAUCAGUAGCUGGUCUGAGAGGAUGACCAGCCACACUGGGACUGAGACACGGCCCAGACUCCUACGGGAGGCAGCAGUGGGGAAUCUUGCGCAAUGGGCGAAAGCCUGACGCAGCCAUGCCGCGUGAAUGAUGAAGGUCUUAGGAUUGUAAAAUUCUUUCACCGGGGACGAUAAUGACGGUACCCGGAGAAGAAGCCCCGGCUAACUUCGUG
rnacentral:rRNA from 1 species